UCAGUGUAUAUACCAAAGUGUAAGGUCACUUUGAAACCCUCUCCUCUCACUAGGGCUACUAGAGUAGAUUCCUGUCACACUGCCUCUAGUCUUGUACCAUUCCAAACUAUCCUCCAAGGAGACCAAAGUGACCUAUUGAACAUGUAAAUUUUUCUCUCAUUGUUCUCAAAGUGUGAUCCCCAGACCAGCAGCAUCAGUAUUAUCUGGAAACUUGUUAGAAAUGGAGAUUUACAGGUGUACUAAAUCAGAAAUUCCACAUAUGUGGUCCAGCAAUCUGUGUUUUAAAAGCUCUCCAGGUAAUUCUGAGCUUGUUAAAGGUUGAGAACUACUGGCUUAAAGACUAAAAUUUCAGCACCUAAAGAUAAUACACAGUUUUUCAUAAUCUGACCUCUGAAUACAUCUUCUGCAGCCUUAUCUUCCUUCAGUUUCUCCCCACACCCCACUGACUUUAUCCUUCAAAAUUCCUAAGUUAUUUUAAGUCCUUGAACAUACACUGUCUUC
rnacentral:lncRNA from 1 species